rnacentral:misc_RNA from 1 species
GAUGAAGAACGUAGCGAAAUGCGAUACGUAAUGUGAAUUGCAGAAUUCAGUGAAUCAUCGUAUCUUUGAACGCAUAUUGCGCUCUCUGGUAUUCCGGAGAGCAUGCUUGUUUGAGUAUCAGUAAACACCUCAACUUCCAUAUCUUUUUUGAAAUGGGAGUUGGACUUGAGUGAUCCCAACGCUUUUCCUCACCGAAAAGUGGCGGGUUACUUGAAAUGCAGGUGCAGCUGGACUUUUCUCUGAGCUAUAAGCAUAUCUAUUUAGUCUGCCUAAAAAACAGAUUAUUACCUUUGCUGCAGCUAACAUAAAGGAGAUUAGUUCUUGUGCUGACUGAUGCAGGAUUCACAAAGACGGCUUCGGCCGACUUUGUAAACUCGAUCUCAAAUCAAGUAAGACUACCCGCUGAACUUAAGCAUAUCAAUAAGCGGAGGA